AUGUGGUCUUCUGUGCAGAUCCUCAGCUUCCUGCUGCUCUGGCUCUCAGGUGCCAGAGGUGACAUCCAGAUGACCCAACCUCUUUCUGUGUCUGCAUCUCUGGGAGAGAAAGUCACCAUCAACUGCAAGGCCAGUCAGAACAUUAACAAGUAUUUGAACUGGUUUCAGCAGAAACCAGGGGAAGCUCCUAGACGACUGAUAUAUAGGGCCACUAAUUUAGAUACAGGUGUCCCUUCCCGGUUCAGUGGCAGUGGAUCUGGCACAGAUUUCACUCUCACGAUCAGCAGCCUAAAGUCUGAAGAUGCUGCCACUUAUUACUGUCAGCAGUAUGAAAGUGAUCCUCACACAGUGAUACAGGCCAGAACAUAA